rnacentral:pre_miRNA from 1 species
AGGGAGAUACCUGGGUCAAUGGUGGUUACAUUCCCAGUUUUCUGAGGAAUCUCCAUACUGUUUUCCAGAGUGGUUAUACCCGUUUGCAUUCCCACCAGCAAU